CUUCUCCUGCAGAAGCCCCAGAAAGCCUUCGGUUUUCAUGCCCGUGUGCUAAGGAAAACAGAGACUCUGAGUCGCCCGAGGCGCUUUCUGUCCUACCGGAGAGUCUACUGGGAUGGAUGCGGGUGAUUGAAGACCAGCUCUCAGUAACAGCCCCCAGCAUCCUCACCUUCAGUUGUGGAACGGGUCUCCCUGGGCUAUGACAGAGGGACACCUUCCUCUUCAACAAUGAAGCCACCACUGUUGUACCCUCCUCUGUCAUCUGCCCACCAGACCCCUAUUGCACUUCCCAUUACCCCAUUAUUCAAACCUCUUCCCUAGGCCCUGGUAGAGGGCCCCUGACCAUAGGCAGAGCACACACAAGCCUUUUCUCCCACUCUGGCCUUGACCUUGCAACCCAACACCAACCGAGCCAACCUUACUUAGGUCCAUGAUCCAGUACUCACCUGCUAGGUCCCCCAAAUGGGUUCCAGGGCCCAGAACCCUGGGGAGGACAGGCACCUGUGGGGCCUGAGACCAUCAGAGGAGCCAGGCACACAAUAGGGAGGCUGUAGGGGUUGCCCACAUGCCCACUCUCACAUAUCCCACAGCCCCACGUGGAGCCCCUGUAAACCUCAGCAGAACUGAGCUGGGGAUCAGACUUCCUUCAGCUCUGCCACAGCUGGCAUAAAAAGGAAUUGGCUGGACACACAGUAGAAGAGAAUUGGGUUAGGUACCCAGCAGAGCUUCCUUGCAGGAUGCUUGGGUUGUCCUCCUGCUCAGGCCAGCUUGGAUCAGUAGGCCUCUCUGUUUGGGGACAGCUACCUGUGGCUGAGAGCAGUUGAUGCUGGGUGGGGAAGGCCUGGAAUUGCAGAUGGGACAGAGCUUCCUAUCCUCCAGCUAGUCCAGAGGAAAGGUCCCAACAGGCCCAACACAGACCUCCCCGGUGCAUUCUCUCAAAUCCAGGCCAAAGCCCAGUUACUGGAGAAGCAUCUCUCAUUUCCCUCCAGCCCCUGUGUGCAUGAGUUCAGUGUCCAGCAGUCCCUUAUGCCCCUUAAAACUGGCUUCUUCUAAGCAUUCUCUCUUCCUAGGCCCUGCUUAAGCACUGAUCACAACAGGCAGUCCCGAGAUGGUCCACAAUAGUACCUGACUCUGAAUUGCCCUGUGUGACACCAUGCUUGCAGCCCGUGGAGUGGCAUGCAGAAGUGAAGACCAGCAGGCCAAUGAUGUAGGCGAACAGCAGAUUGCCAGUCAUCCUGUUUCUCUGGGUGAGGCCAGGGAACAGUGCUCUUGGGCUGGAUCUGUGCUGGUGCCUUGGUGGGUUGUCUAUUUAUAUUUCACAGGUUCCGCAAGAGGCAACGUGGCAACCGCCUGUGUCAUACCUUAAAAAGAAAAAAUACAGGAGGACAGUAGAACACCAUGUCCCAGAAACACCCCUUUCCAUUCCCAAGAACCUGGCCAAGUCAAUGAAACAAUAAAAGCAGUCCUGGACCUGAAUGUCCAUAUAUAUAUGUA